rnacentral:rRNA from 2 species
UGGGGAAUAUUGCACAAUGGGCGGAAGCCUGAUGCAGCGACGCCGCGUGGGGGAUGACGGCCUUCGGGUUGUAAACCUCUUUCAGUGCAGAACAAGGCUCUUUGUGGGUUGAGGGUAUGCGCAGAAGAAGCGCCGGCUAACUACGUGCCAGCAGCCGCGGUAAUACGUAGGGCGCGAGCGUUGUCCGGAUUUAUUGGGCGUAAAGAGCUCGUAGGCGGUUUGUCGCGUCUGCUGUGAAAACCCGAGGCUCAACCUCGGGCUUGCAGUGGGUACGGGCAGACUAGAGUGCGGUAGGGGAGACUGGAAUUCCUGGUGUAGCGGUGGAAUGCGCAGUUAUCAGGAGGAACACCGAUGGCGAAGGCAGGUCUCUGGGCCGCAACUGACGCUGAGGAGCGAAAGCAUGGGGAGCGAACAGG